GUCGAGGGGCAGCGGGGGAGCAGCAAUGCUCCCGCCGGCGACCGGCGCACGGGUGAGUAACACGUAUGGAACCUGCCCGCAGCAGGGGGAUAAGCGGAAGAAAUUCCGUCUAAUACCGCGUAACACCGCAGAGGGGCAUCCCUCGGCGGUUAAAGAUUCAUCGGCUGCGGAUGGCCAUGCGGCGCAUUAGCUAGUCGGCGGGGUAACGGCCCACCGAGGCGACGAUGCGUAGGGGUUCUGAGAGGAAGGUCCCCCACACUGGUACUGAGACACGGACCAGACUCCUACGGGAGGCAGCAGUGAGGAAUAUUGGUCAAUGGCCGGGAGGCUGAACCAGCCAAGUCGCGUGAGGGAAGACGGCCCUACGGGUUGUAAACCUCUUUUGUCAGGGAGCAAGAGGCGGGUCGGGACCUGCUGUGAGAGUACCUGAAGAAAAAGCAUCGGCUAACUCCGUGCCAGCAGCCGCGGUAAUACGGAGGAUGCGAGCGUUAUCCGGAUUUAUUGGGUUUAAAGGGUGCGCAGGCGGAGGCACAAGUCAGCGGUAAAAUCGCGGGGCUCAACCCCGCUCCGCCGUUGAAACUGUGUCCCUUGAGUGCGCGAAGGGUAGGCGGAAUGCGUGGUGUAGCGGUGAAAUGCAUAGAUAUCACGCAGAACUCCGAUCGCGAAGGCAGCCUACCGGCGCGCAACUGACGCUCAUGCACGAAAGCGUGGGUAUCGAACAGGAUUAGAUACCCUGGUAGUCCACGCAGUAAACGAUGAAUGCUAUCUGUCCG
rnacentral:rRNA from 1 species